rnacentral:rRNA from 1 species
ACCCUUAGAUGUCCGGGGCCGCACGCGCGCUACACUGAAGGAAUCAGCGUGGCUCUGUCCCUGGUCCGAAAGGAUUGGGAAACCCGUUGAAUCUCCUUCGUGAUAGGGAUUGGGGCUUGGAACUGUUCCCCAUGAACGAGGAAUUCCCAGUAAGCGCGAGUCAUAAGCUCGCGUUGAUUACGUCCCUGCCCUUUGUACACACCGCCCGUCGCUACUACCGAUUGAACGGUUUAGUGAGGGCAUCGGACUGGUCUCGGCCCGCCCUUCACCGGUGCGGCGCCGCCGGCCGGGAAGACGCUCGAACUUGAUCGUUUAGAGGAAGUAAAAGUCGUAACA